GACUCCUUGGUAUUUUUGGAUCUCUAAUUCUCUUUGUAAAUAUUUUCUGGUCUUCCUAUCUUUAAGAGAAACAGGCAACCACAAACCAAUAAACAGAUUUUCUUAACAGACACAUCUCAGAACUUGGCCAAUCAGGGCCUAGUUAAUUAACCAUAGCCCCACGGGAGAAGACUGGCCACAGUUGCCAGCCAGAGUCUAUAUUUUCUCUCUCUUUGUUGAAAUUCUCAUUUUGUUCACUCAUUAUUCUCCUGACCUUGGUGAGCAUCUUUAUGACUAUUAUUUUGAACUCUUUAUCAGGUUAAUGACUUAUUUCUGUUUCAUUAAGGUCUGUUUCUGAAGUUUUAUCUUCUUCUUAUGUUUGAAACAUAUUCCUUUGUAUCUCCAUUUUCCCUGAGUCUUUGUGUUGGUUUCUGUGCAUUAGAUAAAAUAGCCCCCUCUCCUCAUCUUGAAGGAGUGGUCCCUUGUAGGAGAGAACCUUAUCAUUCAGCCCAGCUCCAGCUCUCAAGCCUUUGUGAUUGUCUCUCAAAUCUUUGUGAUUGCCCAAGCUGCCUUCUUAGUUCUUAGUGGCUCCCAGUAGUUGAGAGUCUGCCAAGACUUAUCAGUGUCCCAAGGGGGAGGACCUCACUCAGCACCUGGAUGCAGGCUGUUUGGAAGCCAGACGCUCAGGCAACAGUGUCUAAAGUAUACAAAAGAACGUCCUUCUAAAGACUGGGGAAUGGGUGUUUCUGCUCCCUCUGCGUUGACCCCUGGGGGAAUAGCCAGUUAAGAACUGUUUCUUUGUUUGUUACAGUCUUGUGGGACUGGUGAAUGUAAGCUUUGCUGUCUACCAGAGCCAGGCUAUCAAAGGGUGUGUUCCCUGGGCAGCAACCACAGAACCAGGGUGCCAGACAUGUACACAAGCUCCUUCUAGGGAGAUACCAGUGACCUGCAGGAGGGCAGAGGGAGAGCACCAAGACGGUGCCUCCCAGCCUCUCUGGUCUCUGGACAGGAUUGCACUUGGCCCCUAGACUUGUGUUAAGUUAGGAGCCUGACCCUUGGGCUGCAUCAUUUAGGAUAAGUGAAUAGCCCUGUUUCAUGGAAAGAUUGGGGAAAUGGGUAUUUCAGGCUGCUGCCUCUGUGCUCAGCCUUGGGGUGACAGCCACUGCGUGACAUCAGAGCCUGCGUGUUUGCUAUAGCCGUGAGGGAUCAAGCCCUGCUGGCAUUUAGAGCUGGGUGCUUUGGGGGUCCCUCCCUCUGGUGGAAGUGUUAAAAGCUGGGGUGCUGGAUGUUGAGUAGGUCUGAAGCUUUCACCCCUCAGGGAGAAGCUGGGAGUUGUGAGUUUCCUCUUGAUUGUGUGUCACUGCACCCGGGGUAGGGUUUGCGCAGAGACUGUGUCUCGGCCUCUCCUCAUUUUGUUGUGGGUCUUUUUCCUGUUCACCUGAUGUCCAGGAGUCGCUCAGGCAGUUUCUGGACUUCUUUCAGAGAAAGAAUGUUCCAUACGUAGCCGUAGAUUCUGCGUGUCCAUGGAAGGAAGGGAGUUGAGGAGCCUCCUAUGUCGCCAUCUUGAACUGGAGCAUCUAUAUUUUUAAAAAAUCUCCCCAGAUAAUUCUCACUUGCUGCCAGGGUUGAGGAUCAUUGUUCCAGAUUCUCGUCUAAAGCGCCGGGGUAGAAAGUUUCCUGUGGUGUCCACAACCUGAGGCCUGUUUCCCGCGAUUCUUUUCAACGGUCGGAGAAAGGAGGGUUCGCCCUUGCAUUCGGGCAGCCGCGUUUCUGUGGGUGAAACGAUUUACAGUAGGCGCGCAGAUUUGGAAGCGGCAUAGACGGGCAGGGGAGGCGGGCAGGAGACAAACAGCCGGGAGGGUUCCCUCAGCCCAGGAAAGAUUAAGGACCACCCUGAGAAGCUGAGAGUUUCAGCUGGCCCAGUGGGAUGACAGACGUGCAGCACGACUCGAGUGAAAAUCACCAUUGAUGGUUGAGAGGCACGGCGACUGAGCGGCGGGGGCGUUUGGUUAUCAGUGAGCCUGCAAGUGUCUACUCCCAGCACCCAGGGCUCUGGCUGCCAAA
ensembl:lncRNA